rnacentral:rRNA from 1 species
AGAGUUUGAUCCUGGCUCAGGAUGAACGCUGGCGGUAUGCCUAACACAUGCAAGUCGAACGGGGUAGCAAUACCUAGUGGCGGACGGGUGAGUAACGCGUGAGAAUCCACCUUUAGGAUGGGGACAACAAGAGGAAACUCUUGCUAAUACCCAAUGAGCCGAAAGGUAAAAGUAAUUCGCCUAAAGAGGAGCUCGCGUCCGAUUAGUUAGUUGGUGGGGUAAAGGCCUACCAAGGCAGCGAUCGGUAGCUGGUCUGAGAGGAUGAGCAGCCACACUGGGACUGAGACACGGCCCAGACUCCUACGGGAGGCAGCAGUGGGGAAUUUUCCGCAAUGGGCGAAAGCCUGACGGAGCAAUACCGCGUGAGGGAGGAAGGCUCUUGGGUUGUAAACCUCUUUUCUUAGGGAAGAAACCUGACGGUACCUAAGGAAUCAGCAUCGGCUAACUCCGUGCCAGCAGCCGCGGUAAUACGGAGGAUGCAAGCGUUAUCCGGAAUUAUUGGGCGUAAAGCGUCCGUAGGUGGCAUUUCAAGUCUGUCGUUAAAGCCCGAAGCUUAACUUUGGAACAGCGGUGGAAACUGAGAAGCUAGAGUGCGGUAGGGGUAGAGGGAAUUCCCAGUGUAGCGGUGAAAUGCGUAGAGAUUGGGAAGAACACCGGUGGCGAAAGCGCUCUACUGGGCCGCAACUGACACUGAUGGAC